GUCAGAGGGAACUUCGACUGGGCCAACUUGCUCCUUUCACAACGCUCCGCAAGGACAAGCCACUUUCUGAUAGAAGAAGUGAGCUGAAGAGGCGUCUGAAAGCUGAGAAGAAGCUGGCAGAGAAAGAGGCCAAGCAGAAAGAGCUCAGUGAAAAGCAGCUAAACCAGACGACUGCUGCUGCUGCCACCAACCAUACUGCUGACAAUGGUGUGGGUGCUGAAGAGGAGACCCUGGACCCAAACGUGAGUUUCCCUGGGCCACCAGGAUGGCUGGACACAGGAGAACUUCUGAGAGGCUUGUGGCAGACAGCAGGAGAAACCAAGUGACUAACAAGAUAAAUAAGAACUUGAACCAGCAAGAGAAUUGGGAGGGCAGUGUCUGCCUUUUGUUUGCUAAAGGCAUAGGCCCUGAGUUUUUAAUAUCAAGUCCAAGGAGGCAAUUUCAAGACUCCAGUCAUCCUGAGUAACUACUUCCGGGGGAGUAGCUGAGCCUGUAGCAAUGACAGCGGGGUGGCUUCCAUCAAGAUAGACAAGAGCUUCUAUUAGUUGGCAAAAUACAUUCCUCAUGCCAAAUCUACCUCUCCUCUCCUAUUUCCUGGUUUUGUACAUAAACACAGCCAUGGCCAUUUGUAUCACUCCGAGGCUAAUUUUCCACUAUGCAGAGUAGAAUUGGGAAGUUGCAUCGAGAUAAAGGUUACAAGUGGCUGGUUAAGAGUAUAUCCUGCUAUUCCAGAGGAUACCCACAUCAGGUUGCUAAUAACCACCUGUUACUCCAACUUCCCCUCCUGCAUGUACACACACCUCCACACAGACACACAUACAUGCAUACAUACAACAUUCAUAUGAUUAAAAGUAAAUCUUCUAAAAGAAAAAAAA
rnacentral:lncRNA from 1 species